rnacentral:miRNA from 1 species
CUCUCUCUCUCUCUCUCUCUCUCUCUCUCUCUCUCUGUGUGUGUAUGUGUGUAAGUGAGAGAGGGAGAGAGGGAGAGGGGGAGAGAGAG